rnacentral:rRNA from 1 species
GACGAACGCUGGCGGCGUGCUUAACACAUGCAAGUCGAACGGAAAGGCCCUGCUUUUGUGGGGUGCUCGAGUGGCGAACGGGUGAGUAACACGUGAGUAACCUGCCCUUGACUUUGGGAUAACUUCAGGAAACUGGGGCUAAUACCGGAUAGGAGCUCCUGCUGCAUGGUGGGGGUUGGAAAGUUUCGGCGGUUGGGGAUGGACUCGCGGCUUAUCAGCUUGUUGGUGGGGUAGUGGCUUACCAAGGCUUUGACGGGUAGCCGGCCUGAGAGGGUGACCGGCCACAUUGGGCCUGAGAUACGGCCCAGACUCCUACGGGAGGCAGCAGUGGGGAAUAUUGCACAAUGGGCGGAAGCCUGAUGCAGCAACGCCGCGUGCGGGAUGACGGCAUUCGGGUUGUAAACCGCUUUCGCCUGUGACGAAGCGUGAGUGACGGUAAUGGGUAAAGAAGCACCGGCUAACUACGUG